AUUGAACGCUGGCGGCAGGCCUAACACAUGCAAGUCGAGCGGAUGAAGGGAGCUUGCUCCUGGAUUCAGCGGCGGACGGGUGAGUAAUGCCUAGGAAUCUGCCUGGUAGUGGGGGAUAACGUCCGGAAACGGGCGCUAAUACCGCAUACGUCCUGAGGGAGAAAGUGGGGGAUCUUCGGACCUCACGCUAUCAGAUGAGCCUAGGUCGGAUUAGCUAGUUGGUGGGGUAAAGGCCUACCAAGGCGACGAUCCGUAACUGGUCUGAGAGGAUGAUCAGUCACACUGGAACUGAGACACGCUCCAGACUCCUAAGGGACGCAGCAGUGGGGAAUAUUGGACAAUGGGCGAAAGCCUGACCCAGCCAUGCCGCGUGUGUGGAGAAGGUCUUCGGAUUGUAAAGCACUUUAAGUUGGGAGGAAGGGCAGUAAGUUAAUACCUUGCUGUUUUGACGUUACCAACAGAAUAAGCACCGGCUAACUUCGUG
rnacentral:rRNA from 1 species